GACGAACGCUGGCGGCGUGCUUGACACAUGCAAGUCGAGCGAGAAACCUUCGGGUUUCUAGCGGCGGACGGGUGAGUAACACGUGGGUAACCUGCCUCAAAGAGGGGGAUAGCCUUCCGAAAGGAAGAUUAAUACCGCAUAAUAUUACAGUUUCGCAUGAAGCAGUAAUUAAAGGAGUAAUCCGCUUUGAGAUGGACCCGCGGCGCAUUAGCUAGUUGGAGAGGUAACGGCUCACCAAGGCAACGAUGCGUAGCCGACCUGAGGGGGUGAUCGGCCACAUUGGAACUGAGACACGGUCCAGACUCCUACGGGAUGCAGCAGUGGGGAAUAUUGCACAAUGGGCGAAAGCCUGAUGCAGCAACGCCGCGUGAGUGAUGAAGGUCUUCGGAUUGUAAAGCUCUGUCUUUUGGGACGAUAAUGACGGUACCAAAGGGGGAAGCCACGGCUAACUACGUGCCAGCCGCCGCGGUAA
rnacentral:rRNA from 1 species